GAUUAACGCUGGCGGGAUGCAUAACACAUGCAAGUCGAGCGGCAGCACUUCGGGUGGCGAGCGGCGGACGGCUGAGUAACACGUUGGAACCUACCUCAAACUCAGGGAUAACCUCGCGAAAGCGGGACUAAUACCGGAUACCCCAGUAAUGGGAAAGCUACGGCGGUUUGAGAGGGGCCUGCGGCCUAUCAGUUAGUUGGUGAGGUAAUGGCUCACCAAGACUAUGACGGGUACCUGGCGUGAGAGCGCGACCAGGCAGAAUGGGACUGAGACACGGCCCAUACUCCUACGGGAGGCAGCAGUGAGGAAUUUUCCGCAAUGGGCGAAAGCCUGACGGAGCAAUCCCGCGUGCAGGAUGACACCUUUCGGGGCGUAAACUGCUUUUCUGAGGGAAGAAUU
rnacentral:rRNA from 1 species